UACGAAGGGAGCUAGCGUUGUUCGGACUCACUGGGCGUAAAGCGCACGUAGGCGGAUGUGUCAGUCCGGGGUGAAAUCCCGGAGCUCAACUUCGGAACUGCCUUUGAUACAGCACGUCUUGAGUCCGGAAGAGGUGGGUGGAAUUCCUAGUGUAGAGGUGAAAUUCGUAGAUAUUAGGAAGAACACCGGUGGCGAAGGCGGCCCACUGGUCCGGUACUGACGCUGAGGUGCGAAAGCGUGGGGAGCAAACAGG
rnacentral:rRNA from 1 species